rnacentral:rRNA from 1 species
GACGUAGGGCGCGAGCGUUGUCCGGAUUUAUUGGGCGUAAAGAGCUCGUAGGCGGCUUGUCGCGUCGACCGUGAAAACUUGGGGCUCAACCCCAAGCCUGCGGUCGAUACGGGCAGGCUAGAGGUCGAUAGGGGUGAGCGGAACUCCAGGUGGAGCGGUGAAAUGCGUAGAUAUCUGGAGGAACACCGGUGGCGAAAGCGGCUCACUGGAUCGAGUCUGACACUGAGGUGCGAAAGCUAGGGUAGCAAACGGG